GAACGUAUGGCUUAGUGGUCAGAGUGCCUGGUCGGUUUCCAGGAGCUGCGGGUUCGAAUCCUGCUACGUAUU
rnacentral:tRNA from 1 species